UACGAAGGGGGCUAGCGUUGCUCGGAUUGACUGGGCGUAAAGGGCGCGUAGGCGGUUCGUACAGUCAGACGUGAAAUUCCUGGGCUCAACCUGGGGGCUGCGUUUGAUACGUGCGGACUUGAGUGCGGAAGAGGGUCGUGGAAUUCCCAGUGUAGCGGUGAAAUUCGUAGAUAUUGGGAAGAACACCGGUGGCGAAGGCGGCGACCUGGUCCGAUACUGACGCUGAGGCGCGAAAGCGUGGGGAGCAAACAGG
rnacentral:rRNA from 1 species